rnacentral:rRNA from 1 species
UGCCCUAUAGUUGGGGAUAAUUGUCCGUCUCCGGGAAACCGGGGCUAAUACCGAAUGAUUCAUUUCAUCUCCUGAUGAAAUGCUGAAAGAUGGUUCUGCUAUCGCUAUAGGAUGGGCCCGCGGCGCAUUAGCUAGUUGGUGAGGUAACGGCUCACCAAGGCGACGAUGCGUAGCCGACCUGAGAGGGUGAUCGGCCACACUGACUGAGACACGGCCCAGACUCCUACGGGAGGCAGCAGUAGAAUCUUCCACAAUGGGCGAAAGCCUGAUGGAGCAACGCCGCGUGAGUGAAGAAGGUUUUCGGAUCGUAAAACUCUGUUGUAAGGGAAGAACAAGUACAGUAGUAACUGGCUGUACCUUGACGGUACCUUAUUAGAGCCACGGCUAACUACGUGCCAGCAGCCGCGGUAAUACGUAGGGCAAGCGUUGUCCGGAAUUAUUGGGCGUUUAUAGUACAAAGGAUACAGUCGCGCGCAGGCGGUCCUAAGUCUGAUGUGAAAGCCCACGGCUCAACCGUGGAGGGUCAUUGGAAACUGGAGGACUUGAGUGCAGAAGAGGAAAGUGGAAAGAGGAAAGUGGAAUUUCCAAGUGUAGCGGUAAAAUGCGUAGAGAUUUGGAGGAACACCAGUGGCGAAGGCGACUUUUCUUGGUCUGUAACUGACGCUGAGCGAAAGCGUGGGGAGCAAACAGGAUUAGAUACCCUGGUAGCACGCCGUAAACGAUGAGUGCUAAGUGUUAGGGAUCAUGAGGUUUCCGCCCCUUAGUGCUGCAGCUAACGCAUUAAGCACUCCGCCUGGGGAGUACGGUCGCAAGACUGAAACUCAAAGUAGUACGAAUUGACGGGCCGCACAAGCGGUGGAGCAUGUGGUUUAAUUCGAAGCAACGCGAAGAACCUUACCAGGUCUUGACAUCCCGCUGACCGCUAUAGACAUAGCCUUCCCUUCGGGGACAGCGGUGACAGGUGGUGCAUGGUUGUCGUCAGCUCGUGUCGUGAGAUGUUGGGUUAAGUCCCGCAACGAGCGCAACCCUUGAGAUUAGAUCAGUUAGUUGCCAUCAUUCAGUUGGGCACUCUAAUCUGACUGCCGGUGAUAAACCGGAGGAAGGUGGGGAUGACGUCAAAUCAUCAUGCCCCUUAUGACCUGGGCUACACACGUGCUACAAUGGACGGUACAAACGGUUGCCAACCCGCGUUAGUACAAGGGGGAGCCAAUCCGAUAAAACCGUUCUCAGUUCGGAUUGUAGGCUGCAACUCGCCUACAUGAAGCUG